rnacentral:lncRNA from 1 species
CACCUCCCUCCUUUUUCCUAGCUUGUAUUGCUGAGCAGAAAUAUGGCAUGGAAUAUCCCUUUGGCCAGUUUGGAUCAGCUGUCCUGACUAUGUUCCCUCCCAGCCUCUUGCCUACUCCCAGGUUACAUGCUUGGGAGCCAGUGUGGUUGGAUUGUCAUCUUGGUGCUGUGGGAUCACUGCCCAGGAGUAGCCAAAAUGUUGGUGUGCUAUUUUCUUCAGGAUGAGACGAACCUUGGUCUGAGACUGCCUGAUGUGGACUGCAACAAAGAAGAUUCUGAAAGUGAAUUUAGAAGACCUUUGAAAGAAUACUGGGAAACUUUGGAGAGUCCUUUGAAGAACUCCAUCCUAUUAUUUUGCACAGUAGCCCACAUAAAAGAGGCCUGUGUAGUACAUACUAAGAGUCAGCUCUCCUAAAUGUCUCCUUACGAAAACAGUAGAUUUCAGUCUUUCUGCUUCAGACUGACCUUCCCCACAUUCACUUUUUGAGGCUACUUGUACAAAAGUUACACUUGAGGACACACAUUUCUGAAUUGUCCUUGAGGAGGAGCUCAGGACUCACCUCUCAGGCUCCAGCUGCACUCGAAAGCCCUGCAUUCCAUGGCCUAUCCAUUCCAGCUUACCUUUGUUUUACAUGUCUUAUUUAGACCUUGGCAGAAGGCUCUGACACCCUGGCAAUGAACUGACAGGGAACACCCAGCCCAGGGCACUUGGGUACUUAUUUUAUGGUACUGGCUGAUGUCUGUGGUUCUGCAGAACGGUAUUGGAGCUUCUCUUCACUGCCACAUUGAGCUGCUCAGUGCAAAUUAAAACAAUUGCUACUAUAGUCCACUUAAUUUUUCCUUAAAUUACUUUGAAGUUAAUCUAGUUUCAUGGACUUUCACUGACUUGUUAAAUUCCACCUGCAAAGAUAGAAAGUUCCCUAAAAAAAAUCUUUAUGAAGUGAAAAUUUGACACGAUGAAACAGCUCAGACAAUGUUAAGAAAUAGAACAGGACACAUGAAAAUUUGGUACUUCUGUAUAUUAAUUUCUCCAUUAUGUCAGUCUGCUGAAAACAACUCAGUAAUAACAGUCUUGUGGGUAUAGUAAUAAAACUUACUCUGCUUAGUGCA